GGCCAUGGGGCUUUCCUUUGUGCUUGAUCUAACCAUGUGGUGGAACAAUAUAAACAGAACAUGGUUCUGUCAAGCACCACGGAAGGCUCCGUGUUU
rnacentral:pre_miRNA from 13 species